CAGGCAGCUGGUGCCAUUGCCCUUCAUCUUGCAUCUGCUCUAGCAGGACAAAGCCUGGCUGGUCAGAUUCAGCAAAACAGAAGGGGAUUCUCCAGUAUCUUCUUCGCCUGACCAACUUCAGGCAGAAGCAGCAGCAGUUGCAGCUCCAAGAAUAGGAACAGUGGUCGUGAUACAACUGUGACAGCAGAGACAAGCUGAGCUGAAUCCGAGUGCCUGAUCAGUGUUGUGGAAUCCAGCAAACAGUGUGGCUU